AACACAUGCAAGUCGAACGCUCGUAGCAAUACGGAGUGGCAGACGGGUGAGUAACACGUGGGAACCUUCCCUAUGGUUCGGAAUAGCUCAGGGAAACUUGGGGUAAUACCGGAUAAGCCCUUCGGGGGAAAGAUUUAUCGCCAUUGGAUGGGCCCGCGUCGGAUUAGCUAGUUGGUGAGGUAACGGCUCACCAAGGCAACGAUCCGUAGCUGGUCUGAGAGGAUGAUCAGCCACACUGGGACUGAGACACGGCCCAGACUCCUACGGGAGGCAGCAGUGGGGAAUAUUGGACAAUGGGCGCAAGCCUGAUCCAGCCAUGCCGCGUGAGUGACGAAGGUCUUCGGAUUGUAAAACUCUUUUGGCGGGGACGAUAAUGACGGUACC
rnacentral:rRNA from 1 species